rnacentral:piRNA from 1 species
AGUUACUUUCAGGACAGUCAGAGU